rnacentral:rRNA from 1 species
AAGCAACGCGAAGAACCUUACCUGGUCUUGACAUCCGGAGACCCUUAGGAAACUAGGGGUGCUCCAUCUGGAAGAAUCUGGAGACAGGUGCUGCAUGGCUGUCGUCAGCUCGUGUCGUGAGAUGUUGGGUUAAGUCCCGCAACGAGCGCAACCCUUGCCUUUAGUUGCCAGCAGUUCGGCUGGGCACUCUAAAGGGACUGCCGGUGUUAAACCGGAGGAAGGUGGGGAUGACGUCAAGUCCUCAUGGCCUUUAUGACCAGGGCUACACACGUACUACAAUGGCCGAUACAAAGGGCAGCGACACUGCGAGGUGAAGCCAAUCCCGUAAAAUCGGUCUCAGUCCGGAUUGGAGUCUGCAACUCGACUCCAUGAAGUUGGAAUCGCUAGUAAUCGUGGAUCAGCAUGCCACGGUGAAUACGUUCCCGGGCCUU